GGUGGCUCAGUGGUAGAGCACUUGCUUUGCAUUCAUGAGGCCCUGGGUUCAAUUCCUCAGCACCA
rfam:Dipodomys ordii contig_71454, whole genome shotgun sequence.